UGAGGAAUAUUGGUCAAUGGGGGCAACCCUGAACCAGCCAAGUCGCGUGAAGGAUGAAGGUCUUAUGGAUUGUAAACUUCUUUUACACGGGAAUAAAGUGGGGGACGUGUCCCCCUUUGCAUGUACCGUGUGAAUAAGGAUCGGCUAACUCCGUGCCAGCAGCCGCGGUAAUACGGAGGAUCCGAGCGUUAUCCGGAUUUAUUGGGUUUAAAGGGUGCGUAGGUGGUUUGAUAAGUCAGCGGUGAAAGUUUGCAGCUUAACUGUAAAAAUGCCGUUGAAACUGUCGGACUUGAGUGUAAAUGAGGUAGGCUGAAUGCGUGGUGUAGCGGUGAAAUGCAUAGAUAUCACGCAGAACUCCGAUUGCGAAGGCAGCUUACUAAGCUACAACUGACACUGAAGCACGAAAGCGUGGGGAUCAAACA
rnacentral:rRNA from 1 species